rnacentral:rRNA from 1 species
UGGGGAAUAUUGCACAAUGGGCGCAAGCCUGAUGCAGCAACGCCGCGUGAGGGAUGACGGCCUUCGGGUUGUAAACCUCUUUUAGCAGGGAAGAAGCGAAGGUGACGGUACCUGCAGAAAAAGCACCGGCUAACUACGUGCCAGCAGCCGCGGUAAUACGUAGGGUGCAAGCGUUGUCCGGAAUUAUUGGGCGUAAAGAGCUCGUAGGCGGUCUGUCGCGUCUGCUGUGAAAUCCCGAGGCUCAACCUCGGGCCUGCAGUGGGUACGGGCAGACUAGAGUGCGGUAGGGAGAAUGGAACUCCUGGUGUAGCGGUGGAAUGCGCAGAUAUCAGGAAGAACACCGAUGGCGAAGGCAGUUCUCUGGGCCGUAACUGACGCUGAGGAGCGAAAGCGUGGGGAGCGAACAGGAUUAGAUACCCUGGUAGUCCACGCCGUAAACGUUGGGCGCUAGAUGUGGGGACCAUUCCACGGUUUCCGUGUCGCAGCUAACGCAUUAAGCGCCCGCCUGGGGAGUACGGCCGCAAGGCUAAAACUCAAAGGAAUUG